GCAAACAUACUGCAAAUUUAAGAAAUCGUGUGACUAAACUAAAAAAAGAAACUACACUAUGAAACAAAGAUACAGCACACCCUGCGUGCUACUGCAGCAUUCUGUGGCACGUCAUUUAAUUCUCAGCUAUUUCUUCUGCUACUGCAAGUUAUUGCUAGUUUGACCACCAGAGGGCAUCUUUGAGAAGCAUUUGAUAGUAUUCCAUAUUGGCAUUACCAGAGAAUUUAAACUUUUGUAAUAACAUAGUAUAUGGGAUUCAUUUUAAGAAAUUUGGCUUAAUUAAUUUGAUUAAUAUGAUGGUGUUUCCAUUCAUAGCCGGUUUGUAAAUUCAGACCGUUUCGCUCUCGGAGCGCACACUGGAUGUUCGGGCCGAGGAGUAGGGUUGAUUUGAGUGUUCUGGCCUUACAACGGCAGUCAAGCACCCAAGCUAACGUUGGCUAGCUACUUCCAGACAGAAAUUAGCCUACCCUGACCAUUUUAAUCGCCAUAGCAGAGCUGGUAAGACAGUUUUUGUGUUAACCAGAGCGUUGGUGACUGUAAAUGUGCUGCUGGAAACAAUUUAAUUAUGCUUUUUUUCAACGUUUACUGACACCGGCCAUAUUCAAAGGGUGUUGAGCGCUCGUAAAGUAAUUAUUCUGUGCUCUGGUACACUCAGACGAGAGUGCUCUGAAAUCCAUGUGGAUAGAAGGCUGGACACAAUUUUUAACGUUAUUUUCUGAUAAAAACUAGUUAAUUGCAUCUGCCGUGGAGCCCAGUUUCAUAAUAUGACCAUAUUUCCCAGCUGCUUGCCAUCAUUUUGAAGUCAUCGCGGACAAACUAGCCUUUAGGGCAUUUUUCACCCUGCCAUCUCCCAUUAUUUCUAUUAGCACCGUGGCACCAACUCGCCUUCCGAGCGUUCUAUUCUCAGCUUAUUGUUCAACGUCACAAUGCCUGCUUUGCUAUUGUUGGCAAUAAGACCUGCUCAUGUCGUUUUAUAGUUCAAAUAACAAAAUGUAAACAACAAAAAUAAUAUUGGAACUCUGAGGUCUUCCCAUGGUUUCCUAUAGGGGAAACAUAGACAUGUCUGUCUGUCUAUUUUGCCAAAUAUCUCGCAAUGUGUAUAUUUAUAUUUUUUUCAAGUCGGGUGUACCCGGUGAGAAAUGGCUAGCUAGUUAGCUGGGUGUGCGCUAAUAGCGUUUCAGUCGGUGACGUCACUCGCUCUGAGACCUGGAAGUAGUUGUUCACCUUGCUUUGCAUGGGCUGCUGUUCUUGUGGAGCGAUGGGUAACGAUGCUUCGAGGGUGGCUGUUGUCUAUGUGUGCAAAGGGUCCCUGGUUCGAGCCCAAUUAGGGGCGAGGAGAGGGACGGAAGCAAAACUAUUACACGGGAACCAUUUUAAUCAGGAGAAUAUCCUCUUUGUAAUUAUGUAAGUCUGGGCAGCGAGCUCGUUUGUCAUCAAUCGCUAGUCCAGAAAUAGUCCGUUUUUAUUUUUCCCCUACUUUUUCAUUAAGCAGACAUAAGCACAGUUGACACCAUCGAGGUGCGGAUGUUUACUUUCCCCACUAGUUGUUUUUUUACAGUUUCGUCCAACGAACAUAUUAUAUUGUAUUGGUCAAAUAAAAAGGGAAACAUUUUUAAUGGACUCCUAAGGAUCACUCUAGUCAAAACUGGCUCUGCGAACAUUCGAUUCCAUUAAUUUUCUCUGAAGCCGUUUCUCAGCCUUAUACUCACUCGUUCUAUUGUCCAGCCUAUAGAUAGCCAGAGCAAAUUUACGAAAGCACCCGAAUGUCCAUUGAGAAAGCACAAUGACUAUACCAUUUAGCUAAACUAAGAAUGAUGAGAAUAAUCAAGUCAAUAAACAUUGGGUAGAUAGCCAAUAGUUAAUAUACUGUCAAGUUUGAUGUAUAACUACUAGCGUUAGGUAGCUAGCUAACAUACCGGUACAUACUUCUGUAAUGAUAUGCUAUGUGGUUCGUAAGGACAGCGUGGCUAACAAAUUGUCAGCCAACAUAACGUGUAAGGUAACUUAUUUGAAAGUCAUUACAUUGAGUUGCUAGCUACCCCUUGGUCAUUAGGGCAAAUCUGGUCUGUGAUAGGAGUGGGGGUUUUCACACCUCGCUCGACCAUUAGACUAUUCUUUAGUAAAGGUUGAAUAGUCUAUUGUUCAGCUAUUAGCCCUCCUCCCUAAACUUGCAACACAUUGCUGUUCCCAUCUCAUUCCUUUCCCUCUUCCACGCAUCAUCAUUCUGCUCCUGAGUGUCUCGCUUGUGGGCAUGCUGGCAGGAUAUGGCAGCAUCUUUGGUUGUGCGUCAAGAAUGCUGCAUACAGUAGCACGUUUGUAUGAAGGUGUGGUUAUUCACAGGCAAAUUGUUAUAUGCUAUGUAGGUAUAUUUGUCUCUUUGUCAAGAGCAAAACCUUUUUUAUUUUCAUACAAAAAUAAUUGUUCUGAAAACAACUUUUUUCCGACACAACGGAAGUCAAAGCGGACGCCUACGAAGAUGGCAUCUCAGGUAAGCAGCACUGGGCUGUAUUGACGUAUCCUAAAAAUGACAUCUGCUGCUUUAGAUUGAACGGUCAUAUCUCAGUUAUUGUUUUUACAUCUAUAAAAAAAUAUCUGUUUUCUUCACUUUCAGAGAGCGAGCUGACCAAGGGGUCGAAAAUGUAGAUAUGGUCAGGUGUUCACUGUUCGAGGAACAGGCUGUGGAAGCUUUAUUGAUGGCAAAAGUGUCCAUAACCAGAGGUUAUAUCAACUGUUUUGGUGAACCCCUCCCUCAUCUGAACUGGCUGACACAGAGGGCAGAGCAUGAUCAUAGGUAUGUUUUGAUGUGCGAGAGGAAGCCAGUCCUGUCAUCGCCAUUUCACCCGCUCUGACGAUAACCUUUGGGCCAACUGGGGGCCCACGGCUCCUUAGGAGACACCGCAAUUGUGAUGAACUGAGUGAAUAUUAUCAUUCAAAUAAUGGAGUUUGAUAUGACAGAAAAAGAAAGUCUCAGAGAUUCAUAUCUGAACCGCACCUUUAUUUUCCAAGGAAGAGUACAUGAUCAGUGAAUAUACUCAAUGUAGAGGCUACAAUGUGGGAAUCUCAUGCGUGGUAAUAACUAUAGUAUGUGUGUAUUUUGGACUUGCUUAC